CGAAAUGUUUUUCAGAUAUGUGUAUAUGGAUAACGUGGUUUAUUAUAUAUUUAUUUUUGUAAUAUUUAGCUCGGUGACUGCUGAUACCAUAACUUUACGAAGGUCAAACUAUGACGGUGUGUGUGCGUCAAUACUUGUACAGAGCAAUUGCCAAAUAAAAUGUGGUCUCAACUACGGGUGUUGGUUGGGACGCUGCAUAUGUUUCAAGGGAUAUACCAAUACGACUGAAUCAGAAAAUGCCGUUAGCUCAACCGCAACAUGGCAGUAGGUCGCGCGGCGGCGUUGCAGCAGCAGGCCCCGGAGAAGACAAUGGGAACGUGGAUGACGCGAAAUGGCAAGGGCUCUGCUUUUACGGUACUCCACCACGAGUACAGCUGCAGGUUUUAGACCUGUCAUGUGUUAUACUUCAUAAGACGGACACGUUCAUAUUAUGUGUUUAAUAUGUUUACAGUGCCUCUUUCCAGUCGGUGAUCACUCCCGAUGUUAAGCUUAGUGAUCACGGUGACAUCUCUAAUCAUUUGCCCUUUGUU